AACGAACGCUGGCGGCGUGGAUAAGACAUGCAAGUCGAACGGAAUAAUCUGGUAGUAAUAUUAGCUUAUUUAGUGGCGAACGGGUGCGUAACACGUGGGUAACCUGCCGGGAAGAUUGGGAUAGCCCAGGGAAACUUGGAUUAAUACCAGAUGUGGUUGAAAGACCAAAGGUGGUGAAAGCUGCCGCUUCCUGAUUGGCCCGCGGCCUAUCAGCUAGUUGGUGAGGUAACGGCUCACCAAGGCGACGACGGGUAGCUGGUCUGAGAGGAUGACCAGCCACACUGGAACUGAGAGACGGUGCAGAGACCGACGGGUGGCAGCAGUCGGGAAUCAUUCACAAUGUGGGAAGCCCUGAUGGUGCGACGCCGCGUGGAGUAUAAGGUCUUCGGAUUGUAAACUCCUGACAUGCGAGAGCAAGGCUUGGGCGGUAACGCGCUGAAUUUUGAUAGUAUCGGAAGAGGAAGAGACGGCUAACUCUGUGCCAGCGGCCGCCGUAACAC
rnacentral:rRNA from 1 species